UUCAAAGAGGACCAAGACUACAGUGAAAUU
rnacentral:piRNA from 2 species